CCAAACCUUUGUUCCUUAAAUAUUUUCAAAUUCAUCAUUUUAAAAUUAAUUUUUAUUUUAUUAUAAUUUUAUAGCCGAUAAUAAUAUUCAAUUUAUUGUAAGUUUCACUAAUCAUUUGAGUCUCUUCCUACUUUUUUCUCAUUAUUUGCUUUGGUUCAAUGGUUUUGGUUGAGCAGAUCUUUCUGAGCUUGUUAAAUUUUCAUUAUUUAUUCAGCAUUCAUACGGUUUAAAUGGAAUUUCUUCUUAUAGAAAGUUAGUCUGUUACUCUUUGCAGACCCAAGAUGAAAAUUGAAGAAUCCAGGCAUUGAUCAACACCAAAUUUAAUCUUUUCCAUUGACUUUUGGAGGUUAGUGUUUCUCAUGGAUUCCUUCGUUUUCAUCCUGCCCAAGGCCUCUUUAGAUGCUACUAUAUUUUCUCCGGAAAAAUCUAGAGCUGGGGAAAGAAGAGGGUGGAUUUUGAAACUGCAGUUCUUUUGCAUUGUUGAUGAACCCAGUUUAAUGGAAUUAUCAUUCAGUGAAAAUAAGACACUGGAUUAAUGAAUCCUCAAUUUGCUUCUAUAUUUCAGAAAUGAAGAUGAAACUUAUAUUAUUGGGCAUACUUCAAUUUUAUCCAAUGUACUUUAAAGUUGUUUUGAAUCAAGAUUAAAAUUUUAUGUUCUUAGAUAAACCGGAAUCACCUAGCUAUAAGCACACAAUAAUAAUAAUAAGUGUAUAAAACACUUAUUAACUUGAACAUACAUGUCCAUAGCAUUAUUAAUAACUCUUUUCUCGUUCAGAAAUCAUAAAUAUUUGCAUAGAUUUUCGUGUCAUUAUUAAUACACACAUGGUUGCUUGAUGCAAAUUGCAUAAACAGGUGUUUAUAACUAUUUCCCUUUUUAGCAAUGCCUCUAAAUCUGUAGUACUUGGUCCUAGGUAUCAGAUAUGUCUAAGAAGGAUAUGUUCAAACUUUUUCUGAGAUUUUCAUGUAUUUGAGGAGUCUUUGCAAGAUUAUAUCUCCAUACUCAUAUCCAAAUAUGCAUCAGACACGGAUAAUAGUUGUGUUUGUUUGUCAGAUGCUGCUCAAGAAGGUGCAUUUCAACCUGUACAAGUAGUAUAUGAAUGCUUUUGGAUGAGUUGAGAUUUUAUUUAAAUUAACAUCAAUAUCCCUGUAUUAUAAAGCAAAUCUAGUGUAGCAAUG
rnacentral:lncRNA from 1 species